UAGACAUAUGUCCAGAAACCUGCCAAGGCA
rnacentral:piRNA from 1 species